AUGUGUAUGUGUUUUACAGUUAGUACAGUAUUAAUUCUGGACUGGAUCUUUUUUCCAGCUUCUUAUGAAUCAAGCCCUAUUCCUUUCAAACCUAAAGAACCUGACUAUAUUGUCCCGGAAAUACAAGAUAGCAAACCUGAUUCUUAUGAAUCAAGUUUUAUUCCUUCCAAACCUAAAGAACCUGACUAUAUUGUCCCGGAAAUACAAGAUAGCAAACCUGAUUCUUAUGAAUCAAGUUUUAUUCCUUCCAAACCUAAAGAAUCUGCCAGUAUCACGCCAGACAUACAAGAUAGCAAAUCUGGUAGAGUAACUUUUAAAAAUAUGCUCUAGUUAUAUUGUUUUGCUAUCAGUACAAUAUGGACUAAUUCUCAACUGGAUCUUUUUCCCAGGUUCUUAUGAAUCAAGCUCUGUUCCUUCUAAACCUAAAGAACCUGCCAAUAUCAUGCCACACAUACAAGAUAGCAAACCUGGUAGAGUAACUUUUUAAAAUAUGUUCUAGUUAUAUAUGCCAAACAAUACAUUAGUGUGUUUGCUUGUUUCACUGUUGCUACAGCAUGUAUUAAUUCU
rnacentral:lncRNA from 1 species